rnacentral:pre_miRNA from 1 species
AUUAACUCUGUGAUGAUACGCUCUUACCAGCUAGAAUGCUGAUAAUUUACCACAUGCUGCCUGGUUAAGAGCUGUGUCAAACACCUUUCAAAC